rnacentral:rRNA from 1 species
GACGUAGGGCGCGAGCGUUGUCCGGAUUUAUUGGGCGUAAAGGGCUCGUAGGCGGUCUGUCGCGUCGGGAGCGAAAACUCAGGGCUUAACCCUGAGCCUGCUUCCGAUACGGGCAGACUAGAGGUAUGCAGGGGAGAACGGAAUUCCUGGUGUAGCGGUGGAAUGCGCAGAUAUCAGGAGGAACACCGGUGGCGAAGGCGGUUCUCUGGGCAUUACCUGACGCUGAGGAGCGAAAGUGUGGGGAGCGAACAGG